rnacentral:rRNA from 1 species
UACGUAGGGGGCGAGCGUUGUCCGGAGUUACUGGGCGUAAAGGGCAUGCAGGCGGUCGGACGCGUUUCGGGUGACAGCGGGUGGCUUAACUACCCGAGUGGUCGAAAGACGGUUUGACUUGAGGACGCGAGAGGGACACGGAAUUCCGGGUGGAGUGGUGAAAUGCGCAGAUAUCUGGAGGAACACCGGUGGCGAAGGCGGCAUCCUGGACCGGCAUUGACGCUGAGGAGCGAAAGCCAGGGGAGCAAACGGG